AGGCAAUCUGACGUUUAAUCGCCUUUCUCUUUCCAGCAUACGCACGCUUAUGGAUUGUUUUCAUACGGAAACCCUUUCCGUAUGAAAACAACAAACAAAAAAUCCCAUUUGAUCUUGUUGCUGGAAAGAGAAGGGUGCGAUAGCCUUAUUGACUUAUCCACCGGUGUGAUAAAUUCACUCGGUUAAAGAAUUUUGACACUUUAGCGGGUCAAGCUUCUAGAUGCUUCCCACGUGUUUCGAUCAAGUGUCAAAAUUCUUGGACUGAGUGAAUUUAGUGCACCGAUGGAUAAGUCCAUAUCAAGCGACCCAAGUCAAACGUCAGAUAACUAGAUCCCUUUUUUAAAAGUGGGCUAGUUUUUGGUGAUCUUAGCGCUCGUAAAAGCUGGAUACUUCAUCCAAUAAGCUUAUCUGAUUGAAACCUGUACAUCUGGUGGCAUGCUUUGUUUUAAAGAACAGAAAUGGAACGUGUAUUAGAGUUACAUGAUUAUCAGGAGUACAGAAAUAUACUGACGAGGCUCCAACCAAACCGUCUCUCAGCUCAUCGGAAUCCUAGUGUGCUGCGCUAGCUUGAGACUCACAAAAAUUCUGAAAGCGGGUACCCUGGGAGACUCGUCCCAUUCGCUGCUCGGUGCUACGGCUCACCAUAAGCUGAGACGAGACUCGCGGAGACCAAGAUUGAUUGAAGGGAGGUUCAGUGAUCUAAGCAGUCAGUGGGUGCGAAGUGAGGUCAGCUACGGGGGAGGUGAAAGUGACAGCUGGCGAGUAUGUUUUCAUAAUGUUGUUUCUAUGGGAAUGUUAGGGAUUGUUUACCACAGAAAACAAAUCCUACCGAUGUAAAAUGCAAGUGUUUUAUUGAUUAAAGUGAGUGUUUGGACAAACACUAUUGUGCUACCGGCGGAGUGGCCUACCCUAUUGUAUACGUCAUCAUCAUAUCCACUUUAGUAUUAGACACAACGUAGGAUAAGUUAGAUGUACAUCUAUUGUGAUCGAUAUUUUAAUCAAUAAAAAUGUAGUUUCUGUGAA